CCUACGGGGGGCAGCAGUGGGGAAUAUUGCACAAUGGGGGAAACCCUGAUGCAGCGACGCCGCGUGGAGGAAGAAGGUCUUCGGAUUGUAAACUCCUGUUGUUGAGGAAGAUAAUGACGGUACUCAACAAGGAAGUGACGGCUAACUACGUGCCAGCAGCCGCGGUAAAACGUAGGUCACAAGCGUUGUCCGGAAUUACUGGGUGUAAAGGGAGCGCAGGCGGGAAGGCAAGUUGGAAGUGAAAUCCAUGGGCUCAACCCAUGAACUGCUUUCAAAACUGUUUUUCUUGAGUAGUGCAGAGGUAGGCGGAAUUCCCGGUGUAGCGGUGGAAUGCGUAGAUAUCGGGAGGAACACCAGUGGCGAAGGCGGCCUACUGGGCACCAACUGACGCUGAGGCUCGAAAGUGUGGGUAGCAAACAGGAUUAGAUACCCUUGUAGUC
rnacentral:rRNA from 1 species